GGAGAGAUGGUCGAGUGGUUUAUGGCUCCGGUCUUGAAAACCGGCAUAGUUAUGCUAUCGAGGGUUCGAAUCCCUCUCUCUCCC
rnacentral:tRNA from 1 species